AAACCGUUGAAAGGGAAGCGAAUGGAGUUAGCAAUUCGCCCCGUCAGAUUCAGUCGUUCGCGCCACGCGACGCGCGCGCUCUCGAUCCGCAUGGACGAGUCGAGCGCGGGCGCGCUUCGCGAACGGCGCACUUCUGGCGGGCGAGCGUCAGCGUCGGUUGUCGUCGGGCGACGAGGGCCGCGAGGAAGGUGCGCCGCCCCUCGCGGGCGGCCGUUAUAGCCUCGCGAUCGUACGGCCCGACGACGACCGAGGCCCUUGUUUAAAGGAAGGGCGACGCGUGCCUGGCUGGCGACCCGUGCGGACGGUCCGACAUGUCGACCGUGGCGGACGGCACGCCUGUGCGCUCGAACCGCUGCCGGUCGUUCGAACGGUGCUCGCACACUACGCGUCUACGAUGCUGACGGCCAUACGGCUCCAUCCGACCCGUCUUGAAACACGGACCAAGGAGUCUAACAUGUGCGCGAGUCUCCGGGUGAUCGAAACCCGUGGGCGCAAUGAAAGUAAAGGUGCCUUUUUCGGCGCUGAGGUGAGAAGCGUGCAAACGCCGCAUCAUCGACCGACCUAUUCUGCUCUCAGAAAGGUUUGAGUAAGAGCGUAUCUGUUGGGACCCGAAAGAUGGUGAACUAUGCCUGAAUAGGGUGAAGUCAGCGGAAACACUGAUGGAAGCUCGUAGCGAUUCUGACGUGCAAAUCGAUCGUCGAAUUUGGGUAUAGCGGCGAAAGACUAAUCGAACCAUCUAGUAGCUGGUUCCCUCCGAAG
rnacentral:rRNA from 1 species